GAUGAACGCUGGCGGCGUGCCUAAUACAUGCAAGUCGAACGAGGUCUUCGGACCGAGUGGCGAACGGGUGAGUAACACGUUGGUACCUACCCCGAAGUGGGGAAUAACUGGCCGAAAGGUCGGCUAAUACCGCAUAAUACCGCAAGGUUAAAGCAGUAAUGCGCUUCGGGAGGGGGCCUGCGUCCCAUUAGCUAGUUGGUGAGGUAAUUGCUCACCAAGGCAACGAUGGGUAGCUGGANCGAGAGGUUGACCAGCCACACUGGGACUGAGAUACGGCCCAGACUCCUACGGGAGGCAGCAGUAAGGAAUCUUCCACAAUGGACGAAAGUCUGAUGGAGCAACGCCGCGU
rnacentral:rRNA from 1 species